UGGGUUUAAUUUUCAAUGGACAAUUCUCUCCAGAGGAAAAAGAAAAGUAGUUACUAUAUGUAUAUAUACAUCACAAUACUCUCACAUUUGAUGCAUUUUAAGUAUUUAAUAUAGAUAUUGCUUUCAUGGUUUCCAAUAAUAAUAAUGUUGUUUCGUUGACUUCCAAAUCACAUAAGGAAUGUUUGCACACGGUUUAUGUUUAAUAAUGUUGCAAUUCCAAAUCCGAGCCACAAAGGCUCUCAUGCUCUGAAAGACCUCUUAAUAUAUCGAUCUUGCACAUAUGCUGCAAAAGUUCCAUCUUGAACCAUAUCCCCACAGAACUAGCACGUCACUAGGCGUAAUGGGCAGUCCGAGGAUUGGUCUUUCUCCUAGCUGAGGAAAAAAAAGAAGAAUGGUAUGAGAAGAGUGCAUAAAAUGCAAUAAAUCUGCAGCAAUUUCUUAUGAGAAUAAAAUAUUAAAAGACACAUUUGAUUGAAAAUUUAACUACACAAAGGAAAGAACUAUGUUAAAUGUUAUGUAUGGAAUUCUAUUAGGAACUGCAACUGAGGAAAGAAAGUCAAAAUAUCAAUCUUGACUGCCAAUAAUUUUUUAGGUUUUAAGUCCAUAAUAUUUAUCAUAGGCAGUACUAACGAUGAAAAGUUCAUAGACAAAUGCCAAAAUCUGAGGCAUUAGAACAGUAACAAGACAACAAACAACACAGAUUAGCAAUGCAGCAAUAGACACUAUUUUUAGAAACAAUGAUUGAUGCCAACUUGGACACCUAAAUCAAAAAAACAAAUGAAAGGCCCAAAGAAACAUGCUACCAAACAAACCUCUAGAAACCAAUCUGCUUAGCAGCUUGCCAACAAUUAUAAUCCAAAGGAGGUCAAGUCUAAACUUUUUGAAACAAGACAAUACAACUACAUAUUAGGAACAAUUAUGAACAAUCCAAUUAUUACACAAAGAUAACAAGCAUAUAAAUUCUCUUCUGACAUACAUACAUUGUAACUGUGGAACUAAUUAACUUCACAAAACAACAUCAUUCUCAUUGGCAUUUUUGCUAAAGAUACAAUUUCAUUCAUACAAAUUUAAGAAAAAGAAUAGAUAAAUAAAAUAAAAAAUGUAUAAAUUACUGAUAUAAAUAAACAAAUAAUAACAUAAUUUCAUUCAUACAAAUUUAAGAAAAAUAAUAGAUAUUGUAAAACCAACCUUAAACGUGUAACAUGUCCAAUUAAUCAUUAAUUCAGCUCAUGGUAAAAGGUGUCAUCAAUCAAUUGAUCGACACGAGAGCAAGUAGAAAGAACUCUGAUCACAAACUCUUUAGGGGCCAGCCACACUCCUAUCAUUUCCUCCCCAAUUUGAGUUCUAGUAUUUCAUUUUAUCAUAAACUAUAAAGAAUAUGUGAAACCAAAUGAUAACCCAAUUCUCAGAAUAUAAUAUGUUUAUUUUACUUGAAAAAUACCAACUGAUUAAGCAAUAGAACAGUACCAAAAUGUAAUACUUGUCAAAACAAUGAGUCUAUCUUUGGUUGAAUAAGUAAACGGAUAAAUCCAUUCCUGGGCAUUACACACGUAAUUCUAAUUGAAGUAAACAAAUGUUACCUAUAUUCUUUUUUAUAAGGCCUAAAUAUAGAUUAAUACCCUAAACUUUGCAAUUAAUGCAAUUGAUCAUACACAUGCAUACACUUGUUAAGCAACUUACAACUUUAAGCUCAAACUUCAUGCAAUUAUAAGUUGGCNNNNNNNNNNNNNNNNNNNNNNNNNNNNNNNNNNNNNNNNNNNNNNNNNNNNNNNNNNNNNNNNNNNNNNNNNNNNNNNNNNNNNNNNNNNNNNNNNNNNAAAAGAGAGAGGAAAAAAAAGAGCUGAAAUUAAAACCCAUCACCAGAAGCUAUAAAUGAUCAAAACCCAUAAAGAUAAAGACAUUGUAACAAUCUAAGGAAAAAUUUAAUUUUAAAAAGGAAAAGGAAAACCUUAAUUAAAAAAAUUAAAACCCACUUAUAGAAACAGACACUUGUCAAACCCGAUAAAAGUAAAAUGUUUUAAAAUAAACCAAAAUUUAGUACCUAAAGGAAACAAAGCUAAACAACAAACGAAAAUAGAAAAACAAUAGUAUUUACCUGAGGCACCAGGAAGAGGAAUGCAUGUCUGGUGGGGAGAAGUGGCAAACGCCAUUUUAUCAAAACCUUUUUUCUAAAACAAAUUAACAAAAACACAAAUCUUUGCCUGUUAAUGCAAUUGUUUUAAACAAUUUCUCAUGUCAAAAGCAAUUAUUCUAAACAUUUAAGGAAGUUUUCAGAACUUCUUCUCACUCCCAGUCCCAGCUCAGCUAUACCCCUCAAUUACCACAUUAUUUUCUUAAAUGAGUAAAAAAUAUUCGAAUGAUAAGUAGCCUAGCAUUUUUAAUAGGACAAAUUACAUGCUGGAAUGUGCUGAGAGAUGCUAAGAUGGAGCCUCCAAUCCAAGCACUAUACUUUCUCUCCGUAAGUUCUUCAGAAACAGUAUCAGAGUUCAGAUUAAUUUGAACUACUAGCAGAUUGAAAGGUUUCAAAUAGGUAAAUUUAUUUUUUGGAUAAAGAUAGAUGGGUUCCCAAUUCACAGUUUUCAAUUCUUAACCUUAUAAUUCGAAAACUCAAUGACAAAUCCUUAUAAUUCGAAAACUCACCGACAAAUAUUCACGCUUAGCCGCGAUUAGAGGAAUCGCCGCUGAGAUUGAGAUUGUGUCGUUACAUAGAAAUCGUACAAGGAUUCGCCGCUGAGAUUGUGUAGUUGCAGGUAAAUCGCUGCUAGAAAAAUCGCCGUUGAAAUUGUGGUUUUUUGCUUUGCCUGAUGGGGGUAAUUAUUUCGUCCAAAAAUGAGUUUAAUCCUAUCCGUUUAGUUAUACCAGUGGACGAUGAGUUAUGAUUUUUAAUCACAAGUGUUCAUAAUUGAAUUAUAAGGUAGAGAUUAGAUUUAUAUUUUUAAUUUAGACUAUAAAAUAAUAUGAAUUUUCUAACAUGCGUUAUUAUACUCGCAUAUGCCACUGAUAUUAAAUUUCUACUUAACAUUAGCGAUAUAUUUGACAAAAAUUAAAUUUAUACCUAAAAAUUAUCAUUUUAAAAUUAUAUCUAGUUAUAAAAAAUGUAUACAUUAAUGAUAUCAAAUUAAUACUCUUUCAAUUUUAAAAUAAUUAUUUACUUUUUUUAAAAAAAAGUUAAUUUUCAAAAGCGACUAUUAUUAAUAAAUAUUUGUUACUACAUAAUUUUUUAAUGAAUUUGUUAAUUCUAAAAUAAAAAAUAUUUAAAUUAAUUUUUAAAAGUUAAUAAUAAUCUUAAAUUUAACAAAGAAAAUAUAAUAUAGCAACUAAAGUAUUUACUCUAUCAGUAUCCUACUUUAAUGAGAAGACCAGCUAUUUGUGUCUUCAAUUUUUUCUUUCUUUUUUUAAAGUUAAUUUUGAUUGCUAAAAUCUAUAACUUAAGAUUGAUACAAAUUCAUUUAAGUUUUGAUAUCAGCAAGUAUGAUAAGUAGUAGUGAGUUAUAGUAAAUUUUCUAUAUAGUUCAACUUCCUUAGUUUCAAAAUCAGACAUGUACAUUUUUGACUGUUUAAUUUAAUUCAAUUGAAAAUUUUAAAUUAAAAUUGAUGUUAAUUUAAUUUUUUACUUUCGUCCCAAAAUUAGAGAUAUAUUUUGACUUUUUAAAAUUACAUUAUAAAAUUUUAAAAUUCAAAAUUGAUAUGAAAUUAUUUAGUUUUAAUACAAGAAAUACAACAAUUGUAAAGUAAUUAUAAAUAAUUACUAAUUAUCAUAUUUGUUGUUUUUUAAACUUGAACAAAAUUAUAUCAAUUUUAAAAUUUAAAAUUUUGUAAAUUGAUUCUAAAAAAUCAAAUAUAAGGGAACGAGUAUUUGAUUUAAAUGUGAAGAACUACAACAAUGACAAACUUGGACAAGAUAACAUUAAACAAGUACCACUAAGCUCAAACCUUCACUGUGAAUGUAUUAUAGCUAGCAACUUUAUAUGAUAUUCAAAGUGCUACAAAAAGUGUUUUAUUUGUUAAUAAUUUUUUUAUAAGAGUAUAAAAUAACAUAAUAAAUUUAAAAAUAAUGUAUAAUUUAUGAUGUUUUUAAUAUGUGUAACGCCAAUGUUCUAUAGCAUUCCUACUCGCCCUAAUUAAUUAAGAUCUACCCCCCUAAUCAACUCGCUCUCUCAUAAAUGAGUUCCAAAAUUUAUAAUUAAGCCAUAUAGUACUACCUCCGUUUCAUAAUAAGUGAUUUUUUAGCUUAAAUCACACAUACCAAUACACAAGUUAAAAUGACAAAAAUACCCUUAAUAUACUUUAUUUGGAGUUAAAGAGUUAAUGAGUGUCAUUUAAUUAUAGUGAGUAAUGGAGGAAACGAAGAGUCAAGAAUAAUGGAGGAGGUAACCAAGUUAGUAGUUGGAACGCAAUAAAUACCAUUGGCUGCAUAAGAGCAUAUAUGGGAAAAUAUUGUAAAAAUUGUAUUGGAGUUCUAACACAUCACUUAUUUUAGAAAAAAAUAUUAAGCCUAAAAAAUCAUUUAUUGUGGAACGAAAGUAGUAUUUAUUAAUCAUUUUAUAGCCAUCGAUAACUUCAAUUUUUAUAAGUACAUUACAAUUACCCAGCUCAGAGUGUAGUACUUUUUUGAAUCAGUUCUUUGAGUAUGUCUCUACCUCCUCCUGAGCUAGCUAGUGUUCAUUUUGCAUUGCAUAUAAAGACUGAAUCAAUGAGCUUUUGUACUUCAUACUAACUCCUUUAUCAAAAUUCGUCCCUUCUUAAUUAAUUUGUACUUGUGGGCAAAAAUAAUAGUUUAAUAUUAAUGUUGAAAAAUUAUUUUAAAUAAUAAACAAUUCAGUAAUUAAAAAUUGUUUAUUAAUGAUUAAUUAGCAACUGCAACUGUGUGUUCAAUACCUUAGACUCAAAGACUUUUUGGAGCACAGAUAAAUUAAUUGGUACAAUAUGAACAAUUACACUAAUAUAAGUUUAGUAACACGAGAAUGAAAAUUGUCUUUAAACUACUACAAUUUCAGUAAAACGAGACUGAGAAUUGUUUAUAUAUAUAGAAGCUACAAUUAUACUAUUUCCUACCUUUUAGAGUUUCUGGCGAUGCAACCGGCAGGUAACUAAUUCUAAUCCUAAGAUGGAUAUUCUGAAGAGAGUUUUUGUUCUGUUGAGUUGUUGAUCGAUGAGUUCGUUGUUUAUUCUGAUUCUGAUGUAGCCUCUUCAUAUAUUUUUUUCUCUUGAUAACCGGUGUAAAUUAAACUUCAUGCCCAUGAUCCCUUUAACUUUCUGAAAAUGUUGAUAGUGGGGAUUAAAGAGAUAACUGCCUGCGAGUCGCUCACCACAAGAAAAAGCCUUAUUUUUGAUGGAAU
rnacentral:lncRNA from 1 species